rnacentral:rRNA from 1 species
UACGUAGGGUGCAAGCGUUACUCGGAAUUACUGGGCGUAAAGCGUGCGCAGGCGGUGAUGUAAGACCGUUGUGAAAUCCCCGGGCUCAACCUGGGAACUGCAUCUGUGACUGCAUCGCUGGAGUACGGUAGAGGGGGAUGGAAUUCCGCGUGUAGCAGUGAAAUGCGCAGAUAUCGGGAGGAACACCCGUGGCGAAGGCGGCACUCUGGGACGGUACUGACGCUGAGACGCGAAAGCGUGGGGAGCAAACAGG